UUUAAUGUUUAUUUUAAAAUUAUUAUUUUAAAUAAGUUUCAAUAACAUGCAACCGGUAGAGGGCUUUUUUCUCAGCGGAAUCUUUAUGUGGUCAUUAGUGUUCUCGUUUUCAAGCCUCGUGUUUCGUAUCCGAGUAAAAGUGAGUCCUAAAUAAACGACAUGCAUGACCAUAAAUACACUUCCCAUGUCGACAAAAAAUGUCAUUUAGUGAAUUGCCCGUGUCUAUUAUAAAAUUAAAAGAAAUAAGAAAGAGAUAGGAUAAAACGUUUUAUGUACGAUAAUCGCUGUUAUUUUUAUUUCUAACCUCCUUCGUAUCCUACUAACCGCGCGUCAUUCUAUUUAAGUCAAGGAAGUGAUGAAUAACAUGCGAGUUUGACAUAAUUUUCUCAAUGAGUGGAUCGAAUGUCAAGGUAUAAAUCCUAUAUCUAUGUAUCCAAUGUAUUUUUUGUCUUAAAAUAUCCGAAAUUCUAAGCAGGACCGUUAACCUAACGUUUAACUGUAUAAUUAUAAUGCAAGUUGUCCGAAAAAAUUCUCUUUCUCUUGCCUUCUCGCUUCGUCCUUUCUUAUUUUAUGAAUUAUGUACAGACUUGACAUCUAGCUAUAAUGUCAAGAUCCUUCUUAUCCGUUAGGGAUAAUAGUAAGUCUCGUUAAUGUGAGUUAUUGGCAGAUAAUACGAGGAUUCGGGUGUUUCUUUUAUGAAUAGUAAGUAGGUUUUUCUUUAAAUAAAACAUAUAAUGUAAUAUUAUGAUUGUGAUUAAUAUUUUAAUUGAUAUUUAAAAAAAAUUUUUUGUUCAAGCAAUAUCUACGUAAACAUCCUUAGUUUUUUAACGAAGAAUGAAAUAAUAAAAUAAACGAAUGUUCUUGUUUAUUCUAUUUUUUUAUCAUUCAAAUUUUUAUUAUAAUAUUCUUUUUUUAAAUUUAUAACAUAUCCUUGAUAAAUCCUUGCAAAAGGCAUCGAAGGACUCGCUCACUGUUUCGCUUCAGUUCAUGACGAAAAAAAUGAUCGUAUUUAUAUAAAUCAGCAAUUGAUUAAUUUUAAGCGGUAAGCAGUGUGUCGAAUGUAUUCCAAUGAUAUUGUUUAUUUUUACGCAGUAUAUUUGCAAAGUGGUAACGGUGGCAUAGCUACAAUGUAAUUAUAAAAUGUUGCAAUGGCAACCGGUGCAACGAACUCACGAAUGUUUUUUAAUGUUGAACAAGAUAGAAAACUUUCUAAAAAUUAUUUGUACGCAAUAUUUUAUUGAGCAGAAAUUCUUGAUGCUAUUGAGAAACGCUUAUAAUCUAAAGAAUGGUUUCAUUGAAAUCACAUAUAACAAAUGAUAUACGUGUAUACGUGUAAUAUUUUUCUUAAAUUAAAAAAUUUUUCAAUGAACGAAACACCCGAUUAAAAAAAUGAGUUAAAGAAUAUAACAAGUCGUGAUGAGCUUUAACAUCUGUACAUCUGUAUAUUUUUUAUUUAUAAAUAUAGAUAAAUACGGAUAAA